CUGCAUUUUACUUCUCUCAAUCCUGUGUAAUCGUCUCCCAUCUUCCAUCUCUUCCUGGUCCAUCGCAAAACCUUAAUGAGUUAAUGACCUUGCUAUCACCAGCUGCUUUCUGGGACCCAUAGUCACCACCCUGCAUUUCAUGGUUCACAAUAGAAGAGCUUUUGCAGAUGUUCAGCCAUAUGAAAUGAUUUUUUUUCCUUUUCAUGUGGGGUUAUUUAAGGAUUCUUCAUGAGGCUAACCUCUUGUUUCUGACUCUUUGACUGGUUUAAAAAUAACCCCCUUUUUGGGUUUUGGUACUUGAGGGGGCUUGUAGCUGAUCUACUGUUAUCAUUUUUCUUUUGGCCAUAAAUUAUGUGGUCCCUCUCCUUGGGCUUCUUUCUCUAUUAUGGGAUGCAUCUUGCUUUUCCUUCACCUGUCUGCACUGCUGAAACUCAAAGGAAUGAUACUAAUGGGCUUGAACAUUGGAAGGUUAUACAUAUGAGCUGGCACUUGGUUCCCCCUUGUCUCUUUUGCUUUUCAGAUUCCUUUUAUUGGGAGCGUUAUAUAUGACCAGUAACCUAUAAAGAACUCUGGGUAAUAAAUUCUAUUCUUAGAAUCACUUCCAUGCUUCUUUAAAUUUAUCUCAACAAUCUCCCCUCUAGCCCACUGAUAUCAGGAGAUUUGGUCGUGAUUAAAACAUCGGUGCAUGAUCCUAAAAUAAGAAUGUUUUCAUUUGAUGGUAUCCACUUGAUGUUCCCUCUAGUUGGUUGGCCAAGGUGUUGAUAUCUUGAUUUUGGAGCUCAUUUCUCUCAUACACAUCCGUGUGCAUGGAAUCUUCACACUUUGAUGCAUCUCAUCUGGCCUACAAAGCUCCCUCUUAUCACUGAUAAUGGUGAACCAGGAUGCUGAAUAUGUUGUUCCAAAAUGAGAAGCUCAUACAGAUGCACGAUCCAGGCUGGGAAGUGGGUACUAGGAUUGGAAGUCCAUCCUAGGCUAAAGCAUAGUUUAUAAUGAAUUAGCAGGAGCAGCUACAACACUCAACAACCUUGAGGGGAUCACUUAGCAUAAAGUAUGAAGUGAUGCCAGUAACUAUCCAAAUUCCAACAUUUGUCCCAAACACCAGUUUAGGGUGUGUGUUCUUGUUGCCAGCUGCCUUACAUCAUUAAACAGAUCUGGGAUCUAAAAACUUCAUGGUAUUGCAGCAUGUCAAGCAUUCUCAUUAAAUUAGAAAUUCCUUUGUACUCCCUGAUCUGAGGGGAUCCUGCUCCUAUUUUGAGAAUCCUACUGUUUUCAUCUUUUGAGGUGCCAUACUUUAUCCUCCACCACCCCCCCCCCCCCAACCCCCUUCUCCUCCUUUUUUGGGUAAAAAGAGGUAAGAAGUCAUAUUUUUACAAUGUUGUACAUGUUUGAGGAUGUUGGAUCAUCACAUGAUUAAGUACACUAUUUCUUCCAUAUAUUCUAACUUUCACUAUUCUCAGAGUAUGUGGAUAGAUGCAAAUCUGGUUUUACUUGCACUUGGUAACACUAAUCCAUCUGUGUCUGCAGGGUGUUGAUUCGAAAAGAUGCAAAAAUUAUGCGAGACUGUCAUCUUUUUGACUACUUUAGGCAAUGUUUUCCAAGUGACCUGAAUAUUGUAACUAACAAGGAACUUGCUUAUGCCUUGGCUUCCCUCCCUCCUUAUGAAGUUCCUUUAUCAAGGCUAAAAGUUAUGCAUCUCCACUGUCAGGUUAGCUGAUAGAUUGAAUGAUUUGCCAUUAUUCUGUCUUAGAAAAUGAAUAUCGGAUAUAUUAUGAUCUUGCCCUCUAUCCAGUGUACUUGUUAUUAUGCCUGAUUGUUUACUCAUUCAUCAAUGCACCAUUUAAUGGCUGGAUCAUGCAUUAGAAACCAUAUCCAUUUGGAAAUUUUUAAUAAGAGGGAUGCCAGACCUACACAUGCAUGUGGGUUUCGUGGACUUGCAUGCACUGUGGGUCCAACAUCUAUCCCUCAAACAAAGCUUUAUGUUUAUCAAUCGGAAUGGUACCCAACGCAGUUAAAUCCAUUUUAAUCCAUCUGUCUGCAUCCAUCUCCUCUCUCUGUUCUUCGUCCUCUUGCUAUUGUAGGGCAUCGAGAUCAUAAAUGACAGGUGGAUGUGCCAAGGUCAGCUGCAGCAUUCCAUGUUAAGAUAGUGUUAGAGGUUUUCUCCUCUCCUGUCACUUGGGUGUCAAAAAUACCCCACUGCCUUGUUUCACUUGGUCACAGCUGAUUUCACAGAUUGUAGUUAUCUUAUAGCAAGUUUCAGGCUGUCUUUUAACCAAUCAAAUAAAUAGCAAAAAAGAAGGUGUUGGAGAUGAUACAGUAGAGGUGGUGCCGUGGAGGAGGUUAAGGUGUCAGUGACAGUAACAAAGUCAGUGUAGUCAGAGCAGGGGAUGACAGGUUUUCAUGGCCUCGUGUGAGGAGUUGAGCGACAAAGUUGGAAGGGGUAGAGGAGGUUGGCAUGGUGGUGAGUUGCAGCAAAGUUGACUUACAGGAGGAGGGAGGUGGUGGAGGGGGAGGGGAGGCAGAGGAGGUGGCUGAUGGAGGGAGGGUGGGGGGUUGUCUUUUCUCGGGGGGCAAGGAGUUAAAUUUGGCAGAGUGAUAGAAGGGCAGACAUGAGACCAAUUGGAUACCUGUUCCACUGCCCUUUUGAGGUUUUAAAUCAUUGACCAGCACCACUAGCAAACAUAGAAGCAAAGGUGAUCAUUGGUGGGAGGAAAAGAAGGGGAGAUGAAAGGUUAGAUAUUUUAAUCAUCAGGAAACCUUCCCAGGCGGUCACUAGUCAUCGGAUGGUUGACCUGUCAUGGAAAUUGGCAUGAGACCAAACACAUGUGUGGGUCCAAGAAACCUACACAUGCCUGCAUGUCUAUCAUCCAUCUUGAGCUACUGACACAGUCAUAGCCAUCUGAAUUAUGAACUAAUGGUCAUUGAAUGAUACUGCUGUGACUACUUAAGAAAGACCUAGUAACCACUGCAGCAUCAUAACACUGGAUGGUUAAGAACUACAGUUUGCUAUUUCACUAGUGGUAUGAGUUGAACAGAACCAUACUGACAACAAGAUUUCACAGAAGAUGUGUAGAAUUGCAUGCCAUUUUGCUUUGGAAUGUUACUUAAUUGACUUUUCUUACCCUAGACCAUGACUUUUGUAAACUACCAUUAUGUUAGAUUUUAAGAAAUAACAGGAUUUGCAUGAGCCAUAUAAUAUUUACCUUUUUGUAUCAUUUAUAUUGCACCUCUUGUCCUAAAAGUACUAUUAUCAGCAAUUUCCUGUUAUCUCAAUGAUAAAUAUUUACCAUUUUCCAGUUGUAUUUCUUAUCCUUUUGAGGUUAUAAUUAUUUAUUUUUAGGUUCCAAGUAAUGAAGUUUUUCACAGUCUAAAUGCCACAAUAGUUGGUUUGGCAGUUAGUUCUGAUGGGCCAGCAAAAUUUCAAUCCUGCAUUCCUUGGUGCGUUGGACUUGGUAAUAAACUAACUUUUAUCUUCUCUGGCUCCCUUCCCAACUACCAAAACAAGCAAGUGCCAUAUAUGCUUACUUUGCAGAAGACGCUUCCUUAGUCCAUGCAUUAUUCCUGGAACUGCUCUCAAGCAAGCUUUGGAUGUUUUCUAAAAAUAAAUAUCCAUGAUAUUCUAAUGAUGCCCCUAAUAUUUUUAUACUGAUUUGUUAGUUACAUUUUUCUAUUGAUUUAUAUUUUUUUAGAAUUCCGUGCUUAUUUGUAAAAAAUGUUCAUUCAUGAUUCACAAUUAGAAGUUUCAUGGGUUAACAGUGCAUGUUCGAUAAAAGUGAUCCAAGCUAAUUACAGCACAGAUAAAUAACACAUCUUCUAAACAAAAAGACAGAUAAAUAACAUGCUGAUACUUUAUUUGGAUUUUUUUACUUGUUGUAGUAUUCAUAUUCCUCAUACACCUGAUUUUAGUAGUAAGUUAUAUUUUAGUAGUAAGUUAUAUCUUUGUAGCAAUGCAGAAUAUAUAUAUAUGUGUGUGUGUGUGUGUGUGUGUGUGUGUGUGUAUAGUACUAGGAUCCCUUUUUAAAAAAAUUCUUUCCCCCUUUUCAAUCAUGUAAAAUUUAUCAAUUUAGACUAGAAGACCUCUUCCCGAAUCUGGGAACAAACCUAAAGAAACAAGAUGCAACAAAUCUUAAAUAUUAGCAUAUCAGAACUAUGUAAAAAUAUAAUCCAGCCGUAGAAUUACCCCUUUUAAUGGACUCUAUCAUCUUUUCCCUCCUGCUUUGAUCUUUUUUCCCCAGUUUUGAUCAUGUGAGGGGAGACUGCUUGUCAGUUUUAGGAGCACAAGAAUUUUUUCUUAUCAGGGUGAUAUGAUAUAUAAAGAAGACAAAUUAAGCUCAAGAUCUAACAUGCCACAAAAUUGCUAGCUAAGGAGAAUCCAACCAUUCUCUGCACACUAGAAGCAAGCUAGCGGACAUGAUUUCAGGAUUUUUUGCAAACAUUUUAUAAAUUCUCCAUACUCCCUUUUAACACUUUCUAGGUUCUAUGGCCUUUUUAAGUUCUACUAACAUAGGAGUCUUGUGCUUUCAAUACCACUCCUCUAUAGGCUGUACUUUGUACCCUUAUUUUUUCCAUUUUCCAAUGAUGCAAAACUCCUCCAUAGUAUGUGAUCCAUAUGAAAUUGAAAUGAUUGAAGAGACUUACCCAAAAGAGAUACCAGAAAUACAUGAAGUCAUGAUUUGCAUAUCCUUCCUCAUGAUAUAAAGAUUUAGCAGCAGACCCGCAUGUCUUGAGACCUGUCUUUUAGGAGUUUUGCCAUGCAUGACAAACAUAUCCCUUUACCAUGUCAAAGAAGUAGAAUAUUUAAUGAUUAAAUCAUGGGAUAACUUGUUAUGAAAAGGAGAAAAAGAAAGCUAGUACCUCAUGUUUAAAACUGAAGAUGGAGUCUUGAAUUGUCAUUCCAUUGACCCUCGUGGUUGUUAGGAUGUAGUUUGAAUGGGAGCAAAAAGAUCAAC
rnacentral:lncRNA from 1 species